GAAUUCGAUUUCCGGCGUUGAAUCCAAUUGUGGAACCGGGGCCGCUGCAGACCUGGGUUGAUUCUGCCGGACCGACUGCUAUCAGAGUGGGACUAAGCCAUGCGAGUCAACAUAGCAAUAUGUGGCAUACGGCUCAGUAACACGUAGUCAACAUGCCCAGGGGACGUGGAUAACCUCGGGAAACUGAGGAUAAACCGCGAUAAGUCACUACUUCUGGAAUGGGUAAUGACUCAAAUCUAUAUGGCCCCUGGAUUGGACUGCGGCCGAUCAGGCUGUUGGUGAGGUAAUGGCCCACCAAACCUGUAACCGGUACGGGCUCUGAGAGGAGGAGCCCGGAGAUGGGCACUGAGACAAGGGCCCAGGCCCUAUGGGGCGCAGCAGGCGCGAAACCUCUGCAAUAGGCGAAAGCUUGACAGGGUUACUCUGAGUGAUUUCCGUUAAGGAAAUCUUUUGGCACCUCUAAAAAUGGUGCAGAAUAAGGGGUGGGCAAGUCUGGUGUCAGCCGCCGCGGUAAUACCAGCACCCCGAGUGGUCGGGACGUUUAUUGGGCCUAAAGCAUCCGUAGCCGGUUCUACAAGUCUUCCGUUAAAUCCAACUGCUUAACAGGUGGGCUGCGGAAGAUACUAUAGAGCUAGGAGGCGGGAGAGGCAAGCGGUACUCGAUGGGUAGGGGUAAAAUCCGUUGAUCCAUUGAAGACCACCAGUGGCGAAGGCGGCUUGCCAGAACGCGCUCGACGGUGAGGGAUGAAAGCUGGGGGAGCAAACCGGAUUAGAUACCCGGGUAGUCCCAGCUGUAAACGAUGCAGACUCGGUGAUGAGUUGGCUAUAUGCCAACUCAGUGCCGCAGGGAAGCCGUUAAGUUUGCCGCCUGGGGAGUACGGUCGCAAGACUGAAACUUAAAGGAAUUGGCGGGGGAGC
rnacentral:rRNA from 1 species